rnacentral:lncRNA from 1 species
UGGCAAAAAGCCUUGUUUUAUUCUGGGUCACCAGCUCAUUCCAGUCUUGGCAACAGGCUAAGGUGUGGCACCGGUACCCUGCUUCAAGGAAGCCCAGAAAAGCAGCUUCCCCGCCCUCCAAGAACGAACUCCCCUGACAGGGAGAGAAUGCAGUGCUGGCCACUGAAACGUGUGUACUCUUCCCUUUCCCCGUGCUCUAUCACACGCUGCAUCAGAAGCCUCACUAUGAAUUUAGUGGCAUGUCACCACAGCCUCUAAGAGCACACCUAAGUGCACUUUUGGCAUUGUCUGUUUGUAGUCAGAGUGUGGCUUGCAGGGAACAGACCUGGCCUGCUUCCCACAGCCCAGGCUCCUACUGCCCAUAGGCUUGGAAGGGAUUGACAGAUGACUUAGGAAAUGGGUCAGCUUCUCCUGAAAAGCACUUGUGUUUCUGUGGAUAGAAAUUUCUCAUGAGCCUAUUUUAAUUUUAAGCCAGGCAACUUCUAGACAGGAAGUUGAGUAAGUGUACGUGAUCUCGUAUGUCCAAAUCUCCUUUCAAAUACAAGUGAACCCCAUAUUCAGUAUUCACUGACUAGUUUCUGAGCCACACAGGCAGCUCAGUCAGUGUAGGCUCUGGAUGAAGGCAGCCUGGGAACAGCACUGGAUGCAGGCGGCCUGAGAGCAUCACUUUGGGUAAGUUCUCUCACUCCUUCUAGGCUCUGUCCACUUGCUUUGAAGAGAGUGGAGCUGUUUAGAGAUGGUGCACCCAGGGCAUCAGUGCCUGGAACACUAGCUCUCCCUGUACUUCCCUCUUUUAGUGAGUCAUUGUUCAAGAAUUUAACUUAAUGUUUUUAUUUGUUCUAGUAGGUGGCAAGUGGGAGAAACCAUCAGAAAUUCUGGAAAUCAAGGGACAGAAUUGGGAAGAGCAAGUGAAUAGCCUGCCUGAGGUGUUCAGAAAAGCCGGCUUUGUCGUCGAAGCUUUCACUAGACUGCCAUACCUGUGUGAAGGCGACAUGUACAAUGACUACUAUGUUCUGGACGAUGCUGUCUUUGUUCUCAGACCAGUAUAAACACGUGGAGGCCCAAGUCCUCAGAGUCACCCCUGCAACCGACCCUCCAGAAGAGGAGAUGCAUCCAGUGAUGUGAGGGGGACCUCUGGGGACUGUCAUUCUCAGUAUCAUGUAGGAAUUUAAAAAGCCAAAAUACUAAUUCUUUCUUUGUAGUGUGUAAGGGAGUGUUUUUAAAAACAAAACCCAACUCUUUGUGUAUUUUUAAUCAACUCUUUACUCAGAAUCACGCUCCAAUGCAGGUCACUCUCCAAUUAUGAUGGAAGAUAUUUUUUAUACUUAAUUGCUGUAGGGACUCAUUCCCAGACAAAGCAAUAGUCAUGAUGUCAUGGAACCGAUCAAUGGAUUGUUUUUAAUAAAUGAAGACUGGCAAUAAAGCUGUCCAUUCAAUUCCAAAUAUUGGUUAUAAAGUAGAACCAUUGAUAACUUUCAUGUUUAGAAACUCCUUCUCUUACUAUUCAAAAAAUGUUUUUAAUCAUGCUAAUAAACGUUUUUGGAGAUGACUCUGGCACCAUGUUCUUCUCUCAGACUCUGCAGCUUUGGCUUCAUGGAUGCCCUCAGUAGGAGCAUGAUGUGAAACACUCAGGCUGAGCCUGGAAGGAAAGCAAGGUUCAGCUUGGGUGUGGUGCAGAAGCCCAGGGAAUUUUGACACCCCUAGAAUGGCCUGCCUUACUCAGAUAUAGUGCUCUAGGAAGUGCCUCUCAGUCAGUGUACCUGCUUCUGGCCACAAAACAGCUUUGUUUUCCUAAGCUUCCUUAAUUCCUCAGGAUUGAAGCAGUCUGUGGCUUUGACUGACAGGAUUCAGCCUAAAUAGACAUUCACCUUCUUCCACUUCCUUGAAUGCCAUCUUCCCAGAACUUGGCUUAUCCCUAGAUCCUUAACUGAGAGUAAGUAUGUUUGCUGAAGACCAUUACCAGACACCUGCUAGAAUCCAAAGUGCUCCCAAUAAACCCAGAAACACAGUGAUAGAGGAGACCUCAUUAGCAAGAACAGUAAGCAUUGUGGACACUAGUCCGGAACCUAAAGACCCAGCAGUCAGAGCGGUGACAGUGUGAAUGAGGUAGUCACAGUAUGUUACCCACGUGUUCAUUACCUGUGACCAUUACUCACAGAAAACUACAACACCUGGGCAGAGAGGCCAGCAUGUUCAUUAGGAGCAGCCUUGAGAGCCCCACCUUAGCAGCCCUGCGCUGUUACUGUGUAGUCAGACAAGGGGUCAUGGGUCGAUGCACAAUUGUUAGUGGUGUGGUGUGUUCUUAUUUUUUUCCCCAGAACUUUGGGUAAAUGAAGUACAGACAGUGGCCUAGUGAACAGAGGAAUGCAGCAACCCUAACAUACUUCUUUUGCAGUGGAAGCUUGCUUCUUUACCUGGCGUCAUCAGGGGCUGCUGUUUUAUCCUGGGAGGGGUAUUCAGAGCCAGGUGGCUUCAAAGCGCCUCCUGUCUCUGAAGUUGAGGUCUAUUGGAAAAAGACCAUAGAAAAACAGAGAGCACAUGUGUUUAUUCAUUUUAAAGACAAAUUCUCAAGAAAAUCAGAGGAUCUUUGAAGACCAGUUUAUUAAAAAUGCCAUUUUGUGACUUGGAAACCAGAUGCAGAUGUAUUCCUAUGUCCUAUCUGGUCUGGGACGUCUUAGUGUGUUGUCACCUUUGGCCACUAGAUGGUGAUGUUGUUUACCAAGUGGCAAUGGUCCACCUCUCAUGGAAGCCUCCUUUUCUCUGCAAGUAUAAUAAUGCUGCUUUGUGUGCAGCAUUCCUGGCACGAGGGCUUAAACCCAGUGAAGUUCGAGAAGCCGAGAGGAGCUCCACCUGUGGUCCAGCAGGCUUGCCAGUUGACCCUAAAGGUGAGUGCAGAGAGGAAACACGACUUGCACCUGGGAUUCCUGGCCCCCUGCACCUGCAUUCAAACCCCCUGGAGUGUUGAGAGUGCCGAGGACACAAUGCCCCAGUCAUCUCCCCCUCGGGCGAGGUCAUUAAAACCACUUCUGUGUUUCCCACCUUC